rnacentral:rRNA from 1 species
UACGUAGGCAGCAAGCGUUGUUCGGAGUUACUGGGCGUAAAGGGUGUGUAGGCGGCUUCGUAAGUUCGGUGUGAAAUCUCCCGGCUUAACUGGGAGGGUGCGCCGAAAACUGCGAAGCUGGAGCGCAGGAGAGGAAAGCAGAAUUCCUGGUGUAGCGGUGAAAUGCGUAGAUAUCAGGAGGAAUACCGGUGGUGAAGGCGACUUUCUGGACUGCUGCUGACGCUGAUACACGAAAGCGUGGGGAGCAAACAGG